UACAGGGGGGGCAAGCGUUGUUCGGAAUUACUGGGCGCAAAGGGCUCGUAGGUGGCCAACUAAGUCAGACGUGAAAUCCCUCGGCUUAACCGGGGAACUGCGUCUGAUACUGGAUGGCUUGAGUUCGGGAGAGGGAUGCGGAAUUCCAGGUGUAGCGGUGAAAUGCGUAGAUAUCUGUAGGAACACCGGUGGCGAAGGCGGCAUCCUGGACCGACACUGACGCUGAGGAGCGAAAGCCAGGGGAGCAAACGGG
rnacentral:rRNA from 1 species